UAGGAUCCCCAGGUGUUCUAUAGGUGUUCUAUAGGAUCCCCAGGUGUUCUAUAGGAUCCCCAGGUGCUCUAUAGGUGCUCUAUAGGAUCCCCAGGUGCUCUAUAGGGUCCCCCAGGUGUCCCCCAGGUGCUCUAUAGGAUCCCCAGGUGUUCUAUAGGGUCCCCCAGGUGCUCUAUAGGAUCCCCCAGGUGUCCCCCAGGUGUUCCAUAGGAUCCCCAGGUGUCCCCAGGUGUCCCCAGGUGUGUCCAGGUGUCCCCAGGUGUCCCCAGGUGUCCCCAGGUGUGUUUUUGAUGUCCCCAGGUGUCCCCAGGUGUGUUUUGGGUGUCCCCAGGUGUGUUUUUGGCUCACCUGGCUGGCCUUUGUCCCCACGCUGGCCGCGAUCACCUCGCAGGCGGCCCCAGGUGUG
rnacentral:lncRNA from 1 species